AUACGUAGGGAGCGAGCGUUGUCCGGAAUUACUGGGUGUAAAGGGUGCGUAGGCGGGGAUGCAAGUCAGAUGUGAAAUGUAUGGGCUCAACCCAUGAACUGCAUUUGAAACUGCAACUCUUGAGUGAGGUAGAGGUAAGCGGAAUUCCCAGUGUAGCGGUGAAAUGCGUAGAGAUUGGGAGGAACACCAGUGGCGAAGGCGACUUACUGGACUGUAACUGACGCUGAGGCGCGAAAGUGUGGGGAGCAAACAGGAUUAGAUACCCUGGUAGUCCACACUGUAAACGAUGAAUGCUAGGUGUAGGGGGUAUCGACCCCUUCUGUGCCGCAGUCAACACAAUAAGCAUUCCGCCUGGGGAGUACGGCCGCAAGGUUGAAACUCAAAUGAAUUGGCGGGG
rnacentral:rRNA from 1 species